CUUCGGUGACGAUACGAUGACGAGUCAGAAGGGAUGUCCUUGCGUCAUUGCAGCCUGCUCAGUGCCAUGUUCUGUGGUGCUGUGCUAAGGCUGCCUUGGGCAGGAUGUCCUAUUCAUUGGAUGAUUUAGAGGCAUUUGUCUGAGAAGG
rfam:Egretta garzetta contig23734, whole genome shotgun sequence.